AGAGUUUGAUCCUGGCUCAGAUUGAACGCUGGCGGCAGGCCUAACACAUGCAAGUCGAACGGUAACAGGAAACAGCUUGCUGUUUCGCUGACGAGUGGCGGACGGGUGAGUAAUGUCUGGGAAACUGCCUGAUGGAGGGGGAUAACUACUGGAAACGGUAGCUAAUACCGCAUAACGUCGCAAGACCAAAGAGGGGGACCCUCGGGCCUCUUGCCAUCGGAUGUGCCCAGAUGGGAUUAGCUUGUUGGUGGGGUAACGGCUCACCAAGGCGACGAUCCCUAGCUGGUCUGAGAGGAUGACCAGCCACACUGGAACUGAGACACGGUCCAGACUCCUACGGGGGGCAGCAGUGGGGAAUAUUGCACAAUGGGCGCAAGCCUGAUGCAGCCAUGCCGCGUGUAUGAAGAAGGCCUUCGGGUUGUAAAGUACUUUCAGCGGGGAGGAAGGGAGUAAAGCUAAUACCUUUGCUCAUUGACGUUACCCGCAGAAGAAGCACCGGCUAACUCCGUGCCAGCAGCCGCGGUAAUACGGAGGGUGCAAGCGUUAAUCGGAAUUACUGGGCGUAAAGCGCACGCAGGCGGUUUGUUAAGUCAGAUGUGAAAUCCCCGGGCUCAACCUGGGAACUGCAUCUGAUACUGGCAAGCUUGAGUCUCGUAGAGGGGGGUAGAAUUCCAGGUGUAGCGGUGAAAUGCGUAGAGAUCUGGAGGAAUACCGGUGGCGAAGGCGGCCCCCUGGACGAAGACUGACGCUCAGGUGCGAAAGCGUGGGGAGCAAACAGGAUUAGAUACCCUGGUAGUCCACGCCGUAAACGAUGUCGACUUGGAGGUUGUGCCCUUGAGGCGUGGCUUCCGGAGCUAACGCGUUAAGUCGACCGCCUGGGGAGUACGGCCGCAAGGUUAAAACUCAAAUGAAUUGACGGGGGCCCGCACAAGCGGUGGAGCAUGUGGUUUAAUUCGAUGCAACGCGAAGAACCUUACCUGGUCUUGACAUCCACGAAAGUUUUCAGAGAUGAGAAUGUGCCUUCGGGAACCGUGAGACAGGUGCUGCAUGGCUGUCGUCAGCUCGUGUUGUGAAAUGUUGGGUUAAGUCCCGCAACGAGCGCAACCC
rnacentral:rRNA from 1 species